rnacentral:rRNA from 1 species
UGAGUAGCUUGCUACAAAGCGGACAGUGGCGAAAGGGAGAGUAACGUGUGGUUACGUGCCCUCGAGACCGGGAUAGCGUCGGGAAACUGGCAGUAAUACCGGAUAACAUCUACGGAUCAAAUGGUGAGAUUCCGCUCGAGGAUUGGACCGCAUACUAUUAGCUUGUUGGUGAGGUAAUGGCUCACCAAGGCUGCGAUGGUUACCGGGUGUGAGAGCAUGGCCCGGCUCACUGGGACUGAGACACUGCCCAGACACCUACGGGUGGCUGCAGUCGAGAAUCUUCGGCAAUGGACGAAAGUCUGACCGAGCGAUGCCGCGUGCGGGAUGAAGGCCCUCGGGUUGUAAACCGCUGUCAGUUGUUAGGAAAUGCAUGGUGGUUAUCCAUUAUGUUUGACCGACCUUCAGAGGAAGGACGGGCUAAGUACGUGCCAGCAGCCGCGGUAACACGUACCGUCCAAACGUUAUUCGGUAUCACUGGGCUUAAAGCGUUCGUAGGCGGCCUAGAAGGUGAGAUGUGAAAGCCCACGGCUCAACCGUGGAAUUGCGUUUCAAACUACUAGGCUUGAGGAAGACAGGGGUGAUGGGAACUUAUGGUGGAGCGGUGAAAUGCGUUGAUAUCAUAGGGAACACCGGUGGCGAAAGCGCAUCACUGGGUCUUUUCUGACGCUGAGGAACGAAAGCUAGGGUAGCGAACGGGAUUAGAUACCCCGGUAGUCCUAGCCGUAAACGAUGAGCACUAGGCUGAGGGAC